GACAUGGGCUGGGCAUAGUGGUGCAUGCCUCUAAUAAUAAUAAUAAAAAAAAAAGGUUGGGUAGUUCAGUGGUCAAGAAUCCCUGGGUUCAAUCCCUAGUUUGAGGCGGGAGGUUAAAGUAAAUGAAAAGUGAAAGGAUGUGAAAAAUGAUAUACCAUGGAAACAUAAAUCAAAGGAAGGCUAGGGUAUGUAUGUUAAUAUCAAAUAACAUAGACUACAGAGCAAAGAAAACUACCAAGGAUAAAAAGGUACAUUAAACAAUGAUAAAGGGAUCAAUUCUCCUACAGUCUUUUAAAUAGCCCUAAGUAUGUAUAUAUCUAACAACAGA
rnacentral:lncRNA from 1 species